AGCAUAUCAAUAAGCGGAGGAAAAGAAACCAACAGGGAUUGCCCCAGUAACGGCGAGUGAAGCGGCAACAGCUCAAAUUUGAAAUCUGGUCCCCAGGGCCCGAGUUGUAAUUUGCAGAGGAUGCUUUUGGUGAGGUGCCUUCCGAGUUCCCUGGAACGGGACGCCAUAGAGGGUGAGAGCCCCGUCUGGUUGGAUACCGAGCCUCUGUAAAGCUCCUUCGACGAGUCGAGUAGUUUGGGAAUGCUGCUCUAAAUGGGAGGUAUAUGUCUUCUAAAGCUAAAUAUUGGCCAGAGACCGAUAGCGCACAAGUAGAGUGAUCGAAAGAUGAAAAGCACUUUGAAAAGAGGGUUAAAUAGUACGUGAAAUUGUUGAAAGGGAAGCACUUAUGACCAGACUUGGCCCCGGUGAAUCAUCCAGCGGUUCCCGCUGGUGCACUUUGCCGGGGUUCAGGCCAGCAUCAGUUCGCUCCGGGGGAUAAAGGCUUUGGGAAUGUGGCUCCCUCGGGAGUGUUAUAGCCCAUUGCGUAAUACCCUGUGGCGGGCUGAGGUUCGCGCUUUAUGCAAGGAUGCUGGCAUAAUGGUCAUCAGUGACCCGUCUUGAAACACGGACCAAGGAGUCGUCUUCGUAUGCGAGUGUUCGGGUGUUAAACCCCUACGCGUAAUGAAAGUGAACGCAGGUGAGAGCCCUCCAGGGCGCAUCAUCGACCGAUCCUGAUGUUCUCGGAUGGAUUUGAGUAAGAGCAUACGGGGCCGGACCCGAAAGAAGGUGAACUAUGCCUGUAUAGGGUGAAGCCAGAGGAAACUCUGGUGGAGGCUCGCAGCGGUUCUGACGUGCAAAUCGAUCGUCAAAUAUGGGCAUGGGGGCGAAAGACUAAUCGAACCUUCUAGUAGCUGGUUUCCGCCGAGU
rnacentral:rRNA from 1 species